GUCUGCUUCUGUAUCAUUGGCCCUGGUGACUCUCUCCCAGUCCCUCGUGGGUGCAGUCUUCCCUCAGGGUCAAUGCUGUCUUCCUCAAGCUCUUUAGAAGAAGAAUGUGGAACCUGUUCUGUCAUCUCCAUAUCUAAAAGUGAAAUACUAUUAACUGCUGUGCUCCUCUCUCUUUUUAAAUAGGGCUCAAUCUCAGUUCUUUCUCAUUCCCCAUCCUUUCCUAGAGAGGAUAAAUCUGCUGCAAGUUUAAGAUGAAUUUAGUGUGAAGGACAGUGGAAAAGGAGACAGUGAAUUGAACGACAGCAUUUCUGAUAUCAGCAGAGAGGGCUUCAAAAAAGCAUCCUAUCAAAUGACUGCAAAGCAAAUUGAGUAUUCAAAACAAGAAACAUUUAAGGAUCCUGAAAGAUUAAACCAUGUAUUCCAAACAAGCAAGUAUCUUUUACCAUGAAAAUACCUGCAGGAUUGAACUUUCUUCAAAGACCCUGGUCUCUCAGAUUCCCCAGCUGAGAAGUAUGAAUUUCCAACCAGAGCACUCAGAACUCAAAUGAUGUUACUUUCAAGUCUUUGCUUCCCAAAGUGAAGAGCUGCCAAGUGUAUAUGACAGAGUUCAAAACCACAAGCCAGCAAUGCUGUCUGCCCCUUUUCUGGACAGAAUGAGGAAUUAAAUCAUCCUUCAGGGGACGGAUCACCUUGGUAUCCCUCAGAAAUAGCCACUUCAUUCUGAAAGGCUGCAACUCAUUUAGAAAGCUAUGUUUUGGGAAUCUAUACAUUUACAUAUCUGUCAAGUAUUUGUAAACCAAGUUAUAUGCAUGUGCCUCCUGUAGUUUUGUUAUGUCUCCUUCAGUUAUGUCAGUGGUCAAUGACAGCACAUGAUGAUCUUUUAUAAUUCAUGAUAUUUUAUGAAAAUCUUAAAAAUGGUCUUUAUUGUCAUGAAUAUAAUAAACAUUUUAUAUUCUACUAUCAUUUAUAAAUGCGAGUAAAAUAUUCAUUCUACCUGUUCAUUUACUUUUGAAUGCAUAUGUAUUUCUGUUGGGAAUACAACUCUGUUUCAGAAUAACUUUAGACUGAAUUAAGAACCUAGACCCAGCCUUAAUCAUGAAGCCAAGAAGGAAGAAGCAGAAGCUGUGGACAGGCAGCAUUGAGGUGUAGGGUACCCAAAUCAUCUGUCUAGCUUGGUGUUGGAGAGGGUUGCUGAGUGUUUAAUGAGGAUAACAGUGGCAGAUUUUGGCCCGGUGAAAAUCAUGUGUUUCUGGGCACUGCAUUCCAUUCCUAGCCACAGCUCAGUCAGAGGCUGGAGCUAAAAGAGCAGAAGUGGCAACUAAAGAGAAUGUAUUAUGGCUUAGGACAUCUGGGUUAAAGUUCCUACAGGACUCCUCACCUCUCUGUAAACAGAAAGCUGGGAGGAAACUGAGGCAGAAGAGCAGGAGCAAAAGAAAGAACUAGACCUAAAAUGAAGUGGCUCGGGGCCUAUGUGAGCAGGUGGAUCUCAUCUGUAUAUAACCAGAUCCAGGGGCAGCAAAACUGGGCAUGUGGUGGGAUGGAAGCAUCUGGAUUGUGCCUUAUUUUUGAAAAGACCGGCUCAUGCUGUGGGAAAAAUUAGAUCUUCAAGAGUAGGUCAUUAAAGUCUUCAACUGAAAGAGUCUGAGUUUGUUAAGAUCUGACAGGCAAGAACUUUACUGCCCAGUACAAUAAUUACUGUUUAAGUUUAAGUGAAUUAAAAUUCAAUACAAUAAAAAGUUGAUUUAUUGGUUACAGUAGCCACAUUUUGAUUGCUCAGUAUGCAUACCUGUGUAGUGGCUCCAGAAUUAAAGAGCAGCUAGAAAACACCUCCAUAACAGAAAAUUAUAAUGGAAAGCACUGGUCUGGAAGAGGUGGGUUGAGGAUCACCUCCGUGUGCUGGGGCUUGAGGGGAGCCUGUUCCCCACUAUUCCUACUCAGCUUAUGUAAAUUUGAGGUAGUAUGUUUUCAUCAGUUCUCUAUAAUUCCCUAGCCCGUGGCAGUUAGCUUUUAUCAGUUCAUGUAUUUCAAGUAGAUUGACAUAUUAUGUGAUUUAUUGUAAAAUCUUUGGAAAUUUUCUAAUAAGAAUUUUCAAGUACAAGGUUUUCUGUAGGCUAGGGAAUUUCCAAAGUCUCAGCUGUGCUAGUUAACACCUUAAAUUUAUAGUCCUCAUAAUCAGUCCUAUAACCUUAGAGAUACUUUGGCAAUAGUCAUGAAUAAAACUACCUACUCUUUCUCAUAAACUCUUCCAAGAAAGAUUCAAGAGUUUUCAAGACCAGUAAGUCGUGCUUAGGCAAGAAGUUGGUAAAUACUUUUAACUCCUUUUAUCCAUGGAACUCCAAUAGAAAAUUAACUUUUUAAAAAAUAGUCUCUGGGUCCCAUGGUAUCUUCAGAGGUCAGGUUAUCUGUCAAAUGUCUCUUUUCCAGAUCAAGUGGUCUGGUCUCCAGAGAGAUGGCUGCAAAUGUGAAUGUAUUUUGCUUUACUUAAAAUACACCAAAAAGUAAAGUAGACACCUAUCUUUUGGGUUAUAUCUAGUAAUUUUUGAAAUUUAUUGGAGUAUAGCUAUCCCUUGGUAUCCACAGGGGAUAGUUUUGCUGUUUUCUAGAACUUCCCAUGAAUACUAAAAUCCCUUUUAUCAAAUGAUGUAAUAUUUUUAUAUAACCCAUACAUAGUCCCACAUACUUUAAGUCAUCUCUACAUGACUUACCAUACUUAAUACAAUUUAAAGGCUAUGUAAAUAGUUUUUAUACUAUAUUGUUUCGGGAUUAAUGACAAGAAAAAAGUUUGUAAUUGUUUAAUUCAGAUGUAAUUUUUUUGAAUUUUUUCAUCUAUAGUUUUUUCAAUUCAUGGAUGCAGAACCCAUAGAUAUGGAAGACCAAAUAUGAUUUGUUAUGUAAACGAAUUCUGUGGUGAACAUUUUUAAGCUAAAACUUUCCUUUAAAUUUAUAAAAAUAAAAUCAUAUAUGUUUGCUUUCCUUAAAACCAGGUUCAUAUAUAUUUAUAAUAUGAGCUGCUACUUUAAUUAUGAUUCCUGAAGCAAUUUAUAACUCCCAAAUCUUGUCCAUUUAUGACUAUAUUCUCAGAGAGAAAUAAUAAUAGGCAACAUUUAUCAAACAUGCACUAUGUAUAAGACUCUCUGCUAAAAGCUGUAUGUAAAUUAUUGUAUUUAUGUCUCAUAUUCAUUCCAUGAAGUAAUUACAUUAUUAUACCCAAUUUUUAGAUGAGGAAACAUGUCUAGAAAGGGCAAUUUCAUUCAUGUACCUUCCCAAGUAAUACCUCUUCCAACAGCAAGCACUAUGCAGAAUAUAAGUUGGUAUUGCCAUUAUGAAAAAUAGUAGGAGGGUUCCUCAAAAAAUUAAAAAUAAAACUACCUUAUGAUCCAGAAACUCCGUUACUGUGUAUCAAUCCAAAGGAAAGUGAAAUCAUUAUUUUAAGAGACAUCUGUACCUCCAUGUUCAUUGUAGCAUUAUUCACAAUAACCUUGGUAUGUAAUCAAACUCGUAUCUGUCAGUGGAUGAAUAGAAAAAAGAAUUAAAGAAAUUGUGAUAUAUAUGUGAAAUGCCUGUAUGGCAUUGCCAUAAAUAUAUAUAUAGAUAUGAGAUUAUUCAACUUUAAACUUACUAAAUUUUACCAUUUAUAAGAACCUGGAUGAAACUGGAGGACACUAUGUUAAUAAACCCAAUGCAGAAAGAAAAAUACCAUGUAAACUUGUGCAGUCUAAAAAAAAGUCAAGUACAUAAAAGCAAAGAGUAGAAUGGUAAUUACCAAGAGUGAAGGAUAGGGAAAGUGGGAAGAUGUAGGUCAAAGGGUACAAAGCUUCACUUAUGUAGGGUGAAUGAGUUGUACAGAACUAAUUUACACAUGAUGACUAUAGUUAAUAUUAGUGGAUCAUAUACUUAAAGUUUGCUAAGAGAAUAGAUGUAAAUGUCCACACCACAAAAAGAAAAGUUAGCUUUUUAGCUUUAGCUCAUCUAUAGUUACCAGUUCACUCUGUAUAUUAAAACUUCUCUACAUAUCUUAAAUAUAUAUAAUUUAAAAUUUAAAAAAUUUAAAAUGAAACCAAUGAUUCAAACAUCUUUCACAUCUAUUACUUUUUGAGAUUUAUAUAAAUAGAAUAUUUGAGAUUUAUAUAAAUAGAAUAAUAUAGUUCAUACUGGCUCAGAAUUAUGUGUAUGAGCUUCAUUCAGCUGUGUACUCCAGUAGUUUGUGCUUUCUUACUGCUGUGUACUACUUCACUGUAUGAAUUUUCCACAAUUUGUUUGAGCCUAUUGUGGUCAAUGGACAUUAGGAGAAUUCUUGGUUUUGAGCUUUUGUGAAAAAUAAAGGCCUAAAAUAACAUUUUUGGGUGGACAUGAACACUCAUUUCUCUGUAUUGCAUACUCAGAAGUAGAAUUGUUAGGUCAAGGGAUGAUGGAUGUAGGAUUUGAACCUGAAUUUCCUGGCUUCACUAUUAGGCAUUGUGCAAUAACUACUACAUCAGUAAAGCCAAUAAGGACUGAGAGAGCUCAAAGCUAUUUUUUUUUAGGAAGGCUUUUCGUUCAUUUGAGGUCUUUCUAUAAGAUUAAUAACAGCAGGGGAGGUUUUAUAUUUGUUCAAGAAAUAAGAAAGUCUUUUAAAUUAUCUUUAGCUCCUGUUUUACAAUGUACGUGGACCAUUUAGUAGCUUCUUUUUGAAAAGAACACAAUAAUACCCAUCUUUGACAGAAUUGUUUUGUUCAUUGAAAUAUAUAUGGUAAGAAUAGCAUUAGCAAUUGAUUAUUCAUUUACUUGUAUACUCUAAUUAGCUUAGGAAGAAACAAGUCAAUUUAAAGCCAAUUUCCAUAGUCUAUACAUGCACAGAAAUUGAUUGCAGACUUGAAUUUGCUGAAUAAAAAGUGAAGCUAGCUUAUCUCAAUUUGUAUUUCAUUGAGUAAAUGUCAGCUAUUGACUUCUGUAGCUUACUACUAGUGAGGCAAUAUGUCUGUCAUUCUUUACAGGCGGCACAGCACACUCACUGUGCAGUUUAAUUAGGUGUUGGCUAGUCAUUUCACUUGCUGAGGAAGAUGAAAUAUUUCACUAUAAUGGAAGGCAAAACCUCAGCCAGCUGCCUGUUCUACCACCUUCUUUCAGACUCUUAACUCAUCUUAAUUUAAUGCUCAUUGAUUCUUAUUGUUAGGUGUUGUACAGGGCAGCCCUUUUGUAAUGUGGCAUUGGAAAAUUGGCCUUAAACUGACUUUACAGGCCAACUCAAUUCUUUCAAGCUUUCUUGAACUUUUGACAAUGCAGCGCUACAUUUUAGGGGAAUGAUUUGACCUGUGUGUUACACAAUAGGUUUUCACAGUGUGCCUGGUUUUCUUAAAGAGUGAUCCAUGUUGCCAUUGUCAUAUAAGAUUUGUACACUACUCAACAAGUUUCAGUGCCUUCUGUCCAGGCACAGCACACUAUAGGCAAUAUUGCAUCAUAUGUGAACACAUCUAUUUAUGUAAAAAGUGGCCUGAAGUGACAGAGAA